AGCCGGAUAGCUCAGUUGGGAGAGCACCCGAUGCAUAAUCGGAAGGUCCCGGGUUCAAGUCCCGGUCUGGACUA